AGCAGCCGCGGUAAUUCCAGCUCCAAUAGCGUAUAUUAAAGUUGUUGCAGUUAAAAAGCUCGUAGUUGAAUUUCGGGAUUAGUAGGUUGGUCGUGCCUCUGGUAUGUACUCGCCUUACUGGUUCCUCCUUCUUGAAGAACUGUAAUGCCAUUAAUUUGGUGUUGCAGGGAAACAGGACUGUUACUUUGAAAAAAUUAGAGUGUUUAAAGCAGGCCGACGCCUGAAUACAUUAGCAUGGAAUAAUGAAAUAGGACGUUGAUCCUAUUUUGUUGGUUUCUAGGAUUGACGUAAUGAUUAAUAGGGAUAGUUGGGGGCAUUAGUAUUCAAUUGUCAGAGGUGAAAUUCUUGGAUUUAUUGAAGACUAACUACUGCGAAAGCAUUUGCCAAGGAUGUUUUCAUUAAUCAAGAACGAGAGUUAGGGGAUCGAAGACGAUCAGAUACCGUCGUAGUCUUAACCAUAAACUAUGCCGACUAGGGAUCGG
rnacentral:rRNA from 1 species